rnacentral:rRNA from 1 species
GGCGUAAGGGCUCGCAGGCGGUUUCUUAAGUCUGAUGUGAAAGCCCCCGGCUCUACCGGGGAGGGUCAUUGGAAACUGGGAAACUUGAGUGCACAUUAGGAGAGUGGAAUUCCACGUGUAGCGGUGAAAUGCGUAGAGAUGUGGAGGAACACCAGUGGCGAAGGCGACUCUCUGGUCUGUAACUGACGCUGAGGAGCGAAAGCGUGGGGAGCGAACAGGAUUAGAUACCCUGGUAGUCCACGCCGUAAACGAUGAGUGCUAAGUGUUAGGGGGUUUCCGCCCCUUAGUGCUGCAGCUAACGCAUUAAGCACUCCGCCUGGGGAGUACGGUCGCAAGACUGAAACUCAAAGGAAUUGACGGGGGCCCGCACAAGCGGUGGAGCAUGUGGUUUAAUUCAAAGCAACGUUUAUAACCUUACCAGGUCUUGACAUCCUCUGA